rnacentral:rRNA from 1 species
GACUACUGGUGUAUCUAAUCCUGUUCGAUACCCACACUUUCGUGCAUGAGCGUCAGUUGAGCGCCGGUAUGCUGCCUUCGCAAUCGGAGUUCUGCGUGAUAUCUAUGCAUUUCACCGCUACACCACGCAUUCCGCAUACUUCUCGCUCACUCAAGAAAACCAGUUUCAACGGCUCGAAGAGGUUGAGCCUCUCAAUUUUACCGCUGACUUGAUCUUCCGCCUGCGCACCCUUUAAACCCAAUAAAUCCGGAUAACGCUCGCAUCCUCCGUAUUACCGCGGCUGCUGGCACGGAGUUAGCCGAUGCUUUUUCGUCGGGUACUCUCGAUAACGCUACACGUAGCGCCAAUUGCUCCCUGACAAAAGAGGUUUACAACCCAGAGGGCAGUCUUCCCUCACGCGACUUGGCUGGUUCAGGCGUAAGCCCAUUGACCAAUAUUCCUCACUGCUGCCACCCGUAGG